rnacentral:rRNA from 15 species
ACUCCGUGCCAGCAGCCGCGGUAAUACGGGAGUGGCAAGCGUUAUCCGGAAUUAUUGGGCGUAAAGCGUCCGCAGGCGGCCCUACAAGUCUGCUGUUAAAAAGUGGAGCUUAACUCCAUCAUGGCAGUGGAAACUGUUGGGCUUGAGUGUGGUAGGGGCAGAGGGAAUUCCCGGUGUAGCGGUGAAAUGCGUAGAUAUCGGGAAGAACACCAGUGGCGAAGGCGCUCUGCUGGGCCAUCACUGACGCUCAUGGACGAAAGCCAGGGGAGCGAAAGGGAUUAGAUACCCCUGUAGUCCUGGCCGUAAACGAUGAACACUAGGUGUCGGGGGAAUCAACCCCUCCGGUGUCGUAGCCAACGCGUUAAGUGUUCCGCCUGGGGA